rnacentral:rRNA from 1 species
UACGUAGGUGGCAAGCGUUGUCCGGAUUUACUGGGUGUGAAGGGCGUGCAGCCGGAGAGACAAGUCAGAUGUGAAAUCCACGGGCUCAACCCGUGAACUGCAUUUGAAACUGUUUCCCUUGAGUGUCGGAGAGGUAAUCGGAAUUCCUUGUGUAGCGGUGAAAUGCGUAGAUAUAAGGAAGAACACCAGUGGCGAAGGCGGAUUACUGGACGAUAACUGACGGUGAGGCGCGAAAGCGUGGGGAGCAAACAGG